AGAGUUUGAUCAUGGCUCAGAUUGAACGCUGGCGGCAGGCCUAACACAUGCAAGUCGAACGGUAACAUUUCUAGCUUGCUAGAAGAUGACGAGUGGCGGACGGGUGAGUAAUGCUUGGGAACUUGCCUUUGCGAGGGGGAUAACAGUUGGAAACGACUGCUAAUACCGCAUAACGUCUACGGACCAAACGGGGCUUAGGCUCCGGCGCAAAGAGAGGCCCAAGUGAGAUUAGCUAGUUGGUAAGGUAAUGGCUUACCAAGGCAACGAUCUCUAGCUGUUCUGAGAGGAAGAUCAGCCACACUGGAACUGAGACACGGUCCAGACUCCUACGGGAGGCAGCAGUGGGGAAUAUUGCACAAUGGGGGAAACCCUGAUGCAGCCAUGCCGCGUGUGUGAAGAAGGCCUUCGGGUUGUAAAGCACUUUCAGUUGUGAGGAAAAGUUAGUAGUUAAUACCUGCUAGCCGUGACGUUAACAACAGAAGAAGCACCGGCUAACUCCGUGCCAGCAGCCGCGGUAAUACGGAGGGUGCGAGCGUUAAUCGGAAUUACUGGGCGUAAAGCGCACGCAGGCGGUUUGUUAAGCUAGAUGUGAAAGCCCCGGGCUCAACCUGGGAUAGUCAUUUAGAACUGGCAGACUAGAGUCUUGGAGAGGGGAGUGGAAUUCCAGGUGUAGCGGUGAAAUGCGUAGAUAUCUGGAGGAACAUCAGUGGCGAAGGCGACUCCCUGGCCAAAGACUGACGCUCAUGUGCGAAAGUGUGGGUAGCGAACAGG
rnacentral:rRNA from 1 species